rnacentral:rRNA from 1 species
AUGCCGGGGCCGGGUAGCCAGAACGGACGGGCGACGCCGCUCAAGUCCGAGAACAUCCACGGGCUCGUGCGCGCUGGCGACGUGGCGGCCGUCCAGAGGAAGCUGCAGGAGAACCCUGCCCUCCUCAACGACAAGAAUCCUGUGAUGUGCCAAACACCACUUCAUGUCGCAGCUGGAUACAAUAAUACUGAUAUAGUGAAAUUCCUUCUUGAUUGGCAAGGGCAAGGUGCAGAUAUGGUUGAGGUGGAGGCAAAGAACAUGUACGGAGAGACACCCCUGCAUAUGGCAGUAAAAAAUAGUUCUUAUGAAUCAGCAAAAUUGCUCCUUGAACAUGGUGUACAUACAGGAGCCAAAACAAAUAAUGGCAUGUCACCAUUGCAUUUAGCUGUCUGGCAUGCACUUCAAACUGGAGAUUGCAGCACCGUCAAUUUGUUGCUAAGCUAUAAUGCAGAUUGCAAUGCUAAAGAUGAUGAAGGCAAAAUCCCCUUAAAUCAUAUCCCAGGAGGAGCUGGCAAUGAGAUGCUGCUCCAGCUCCUCAUUCGCCAUAUGGAAGAACAAAGAAAACAAAAAGCCCUCAUGACAUGUCAUGAACAACGGUCAAUGGCGGAGUUUGAAGAAGCAAUAUCACAAAUCGUGGGGUUGCAAGAGCUGAAAAUGCAAUUACGUCGAUGGGCCAGGGGAAUGCUUUUUGAUGAAAAACGCCGGGCUAUGGGCUUAGGGAUACCAGAAGAGCUCCCCACAUGGCAUUUCUGGGCAAUCCAGGAACAGAUAAAAGAUGCCGAGGGAGGGAUUCUGUUUGUGGAUGAAGCUUACAGGUUGAUACCAACGCAAAAAUCGGAUGAUAAGGAUUAUGGUUUGGAGGCACUGGAGGAGAUAAUGUCUGUAAUGGACAGUGGCAAAGUAGUUGUCAUAUUUGCUGGGUACUGCGAGCAAAUGAAGCGUGUCAUUGCCUCGAACGACGGUUUCUGUAGGAGGGUCACGAUGUUCUUUGAUUUUGAUGAUUUCACCACGACAGAAUUAGCGGAGAUAUUGCUUCUGAAGAUGAAUAGCCUGACUGACACAAGUUUGCUUUACGGGUUCAGGCUGCACCGGAGCUGCACCAGAGGUGCCGUUGGAGAGCUGAUUGCCAGGGAGACCACUGAGGAGUGGCUUAAACAGAUGAACGGAGGUCUGGUAGACACACUGCUUGUCAAUGCACGUGAAAACUUGGAUCUUCGUCUUGAUUUCAGUUGCAAUGACGCUGAGACCAUGAUCACAAUCACAUUGGAAGACCUGGAAGCAGGCCUAAGGCAGAUAUCAAGACAGAGACAUUUGUGGUGA